UCGGCCGCCGGGGAGCCCGUCCGUGGCUCGGGCACUGCCCGGCGUGGCACAGCGGCCUGGCUGCUCCCGACAGGGAGGGGCGGCAGGGACCCUGCAGCAUCGUACCCUCCGCGCUGCGCCCCUCCGAGGCUGCGGGCGCCGCCAGGGAUAGAUACGGACAGAUACCCCCACACCGCGGCUGUGAGGGCAGACAGAGCUGAGGUGCAGCGGCGGAUUCCAUGCCCGAGUCUUCCAUGGAUACACCACGGCGCGUUGGUGCCUUGGAGGUCCCCAGAGAGGCCACACGGUGUCUUGGAGCGCCACCUCGUGACCGUCAGGCCAGAGCCUUUAUUUUCCAAGAUUUUGGAAGGAGUUUUGUUCUAGGUGAAAAGCAAAGUGGAAGAAGGGCAAAGGGGAAGUCCACAGAUAAGAAUGAGACCAAGAUGAAAGGUUAAAAUAGAAGGGAGGUUAUUUCAUAGUGCCUCUAUAAAAAACUGCAAUUAUCUUGUUGUAAUUUGAACCUAUUAGCUUGUUUAAAUUGGUGCUAAUAAACUGUAAAAUC